ACUGCCAAAAAAAAAAAAGAUUAAGCAAUCUUUCUUGCAGAAGUUCCCUAUCUUUGCUUGUUCAAAGUAUUUAUAUAUAAGAAAUAAAUCACUAUCUAACUUAAACAAUCUGAAGAAACUCAGUUAAUUUCUGGAUCCAUAUAUCCAGAGCAUCAUAUUCAGAGCUAGUAUAGUUCAAUCAAAUCAUAUCAGACAAAACACAAAUUGAAAGUUUCUGAAGCAUAAAAUCGGUGAAACAUGUAGUUAUAGGCCGUUCAUGUUGCAACUGUAAAAGCCUACUUUGCAAUAAUGUAAUUUCUAUGAAAUACAUCAAGUGAAACAGGGAAUCUAAUGGUCCAAUGGUAAAUGCCCAUUUCUUUUAUGACAAUAAACACGCUAACCCUAGAUGCAUAUCAGAGCCAAAGCAGUUCAUAAACUUAACCAUUCACAAAUUCUAAGAAUCAAACCACUUGCAUCAAAAAUAAAAUGAUAUUCCUAACUUGAUAAAAUGGUUUUUAUGGUUUCCUAGUAGUAAAAGGCCCAUAAUUACCCAGUUACAAAAGAAGACUAAAUUCUAUAAUUUCAGAUCCAGAAAAAGGAAUUGUCAUUGAAGUUUAUGGCUGAUGAGAGAAAAUAGCCAGUAAGAUAUCAAGAAACAAACGUGAGAUUAUGCACAUACAAUUUCUGUAGCAUCAACUCGAGU
rnacentral:misc_RNA from 1 species